ensembl:lncRNA
AUGCCCAGUGUCCUUGCUAAUAAGAUUAAACACAGGUUGCACAACAAAAGCCCACACAGUUCCUCCCGCCGUCUAUGCCCAGUGUCCUUGGUAACUUACGUAGUCAGCAAACGAAACACACCCGUCUUCAGGAAUUUCCCAACAAGAUCCCAAGCGUCCGUCCAGAUUACCUUGCCCAACGCAAUUAGCCCUGGAUUCCAAACCCCAUUUUAUGCCAGUUUACAACUCCUCAUCGCUAUCAGCUGUUACCCUAAUUCCAGGUGCCUCAUCAUCAUCAUCCUCAUCAGAACUAAAACAUCUUUGACUACGCCCCACAGCAUCCCCAGCUGUGGAUCCCGUCCCAUCCCUCCAACUCGUCCACGGGUCCGAUCCUGCAACCCGCCAGUCGCUUCCCAUGCUAUCAUUACCAGGAACACCCGAAUCCUCCCUCACACGAGUCCAUUCCAUGUCAUCCUCCUCUGAGCUAACCACCUCUUCCUCCAUUCUCUCAGUAAAACCCUCAAAGGAGUCUUCGUCAGAUGGUUCUGCAAAGAUGUCCCGCAGCCGUUUCCUCUCUCGCUCCUCAAGAGAGUCUGACUCUCGAGGAGUCUUACGACCACGUCUCCCAGUAUUGGAGCCAUAAGGCUCAACCAUAACAGUUAACCUCAGUUUAUGAACUCUUUCAUUUGUUGCUUUGGAAAAUAUAUAAACAUGAAUGCAAUGUUUACUAUAAUGCUGUGAAAUAGUUAAUAUUUGGUUUAAAUCUUAUGUGCCUUUGUUAAUUAUACGUUUGCUACUUCAGUUCUAUUAUAUACUGUGUGUAAUAGGACAACCUUUCUCUAUACUAUAUAUAGAUUUCUGUGUAAUAUCAGUAUUACCAUACAAGCAGGCUAAUAUCCUAAACAACUAGUGUCAUAUACAUCAAAUUAUCAGCUACAGGUUGAUCCUAAAGUGCACACACUACACUUAAGAAUACUCACUGUAUGGCCCUAUAAUAUUUUUCUAUAGUAGUGUGACUGUGUAAUAUAACAGAGCAAAUCUUCUUUUUCCUUUAAUGGCUAUCUAUAUUUUAGAUCUCACCCUCAAAAAGACAAAGCAGUUCUGUUCCUCUCAAUUAAUAGGUUACCUAAUAAUGAACAUGCAGCUUCCCAUUCUGGCACAAAAGGAAGGAAGUUUCUCAUGUAAUAGACGUCAAUUGGGCUGAACCACAGCUGAAUAAAUGUGUAUUUGAAAUUGGGAAAUGUCUUUUCUGGUUGCCAAGAUAAGGUUAGGAACUGAUCCUCCCUUCAAGACAGCAGUAUAAAGGUCAAAUGUAUGAAAGGCAACAUAUGGUGACACUGACAAUGGACUGGUUGAUUUUGAUUAUAGGCUACAAAAAUGCCUAGUGGAUCUCAUAUAUUUCUGUGCUCUUAUAUGUAGGUUUUUAAAAUAUGCCUACUGAAAAACAAAUUAUGCUUAAAUAAAACCAGCUAUGAAAUUAGUUUAAAAUCAUGAUCCAGUGGAAGUCUGGAUAAUUCUAUACAUUGGAAAUGAUUUGAAAUCACAGAAGAGUAAUUAUUUUAAAGAAAAGGCAUAUAAAUGAUACAUUUGCUGUUAUCUCUUGUUUGGAUUGUAACACAAGCUUAGGAACGCAUUUGCAAACAUUUGCAUUUAUAUCUGCCACUAAGCAUUUAUGAAAUAGAACAAUUAUUUCAGAGGGCAUUCCAAAAAGACUGUAUUUUUACCAUGCAUCUACCAAGUCAUUGGAGCAAGUGCAAUUUUUAAAGAUUAGUCUUGUAUUUAUUUAAACAUGUUGAUUUUCCAACAAACAUCCAAGAGAAUUGGGCUUUUGGUUUAGAAGUAUUUGGGUAAUGUAAAAUUUAAUGGCUUUUUGGAUCAUUUUAUUCAUUAAUAAUGUAAUUCUGUGGUUUUAUUUAUACUAAAAUAGUGAAUGGCUUUAUUUAUACUCCACCCUUUUC